rnacentral:rRNA from 1 species
ACUGCUCAGUAACACGUGGAUAACCUGCCCUUGGGACCGGCAUAACCCCGGGAAACUGGGGAUAAUUCCGGAUAACGCACAUAUGCUGGAAUGCUUUAUGCGUGAAAUGGAUUCGUCUGCCCAAGGAUGGGUCUGCGGCCUAUCAGGUAGUAGUGGGUGUAAUGUACCUACUAGCCUACAACGGGUACGGGUUGUGAGAGCAAGAGCCCGGAGAUGGAUUCUGAGACAUGAAUCCAGGCCCUACGGGGCGCAGCAGGCGCGAAAACUUUACAAUGCGGGAAACCGUGAUAAGGGGACACCGAGUGCCAGCAUCAUAUGCUGGCUGUCCAGGUGUGUAAAAUACACCCGUUAGCAAGGGCCGGGCAAGACCGGUGCCAGCCGCCGCGGUAACACCGGCGGCCCGAGUGGUGAUCGUGAUUAUUGGGUCUAAAGGGUCCGUAGCCGGUUUGGUCAGUCCUCCGGGAAAUCUGACAGCUCUACUGUUAGGCUUUCGGGGGAUACUGCCAGACUUGGAACCGGGAGAGGUAAGAGGUACUACAGGGGUAGGAGUGAAAUCUUGUAAUCCCUGUGGGACCACCUGUGGCGAAGGCGUCUUACCAGAACGGGUUCGA